rnacentral:tRNA from 1 species
GGCAGGUUGCCCGAGUGGCCAAUGGGAGCGGGCUGUAAACCCGUCGGUUAACGCCUUCGAAGGUUCGAAUCCUUCACCUGCCACAA